rnacentral:lncRNA from 1 species
UUUUCAGAAAGCUGAUUCCUUCUUCCCACCUCGGCUUGGUAAGAGUUUUUCUGUGAGAGAUGUUCUUGUUCAGCAGAGAUGAUCAGAGAUGAUCAGAGAUGAUCAGAGAUGAUCAGAGAUGAUCAGAGAUGAUCAAAGCUCAUGCUCAGGUGCAGUAGUUAGCAGAUAUUUGCAGACUCAGGUGUCUUCAGCAGAAGCACGCAGAUGUUUGAAGUUCUUUGGAGAUAUUAAAAGACUUUUGCAGAAGUUUGUAGAUUUAUAAACAUUAGCAGAUGUUUGCAGGUGUUUACAGAUGUUUACAGGCUUUUGGUUCAUUUAGACUUUAGUACAUGUUAGUAGAUGAAAGGAGGACAUGCAUGAUGACCUGUAAACAUCAUUAGAUGUUUUCAGACGUGUGUGAAGGUCUUAAAGAGUUCAGACACACCAAGAACAUCUGCUCUACAGGUUUGUCUCAGUCUAGAGGAACUUCUUGUUGUUGUUGAUGACUAACCUGCUUAAAUAAGAGAAAUGAUCAUCAGUCUCUUCUCCUGUUUCAUCAGCUCUCAGCACAGACCAACCGUCUAGUUUUCUUUCUGUUUUUCUGAGAGCAGUGACCUUUUCUUUUGCAGCUCUGCAUAACAGCACGAGGCCUCGUUCCCCCUCUGCUGUUGGAGUCCACAGCUUUCCUGGAUCCCACCACUCCUUUGGAAGCAGGGUUAGAAACGACAGUGCCCGGCGGGCGGAGCGUCCCGGUCCACCCCUCUCUAAACCCCCGCUGAACUCCACCCACUCCACCUCCGAGAACGGCUUGUCUGCUGACCAGACCACCAAGGCCCCCUCUAGUGUCCCUGUGAAGCCUCCUCACUCUGAGGGUAAUGUCCUCCUUUGACUCCAGCUUCUGUUUGCAGACCCCCACCACCACAGACCAGGAGGUGGAGUUUCUCCUGAAUUGAACUGUGUCUUCUUUCUGCUCGACCUUUUCUUCCCACACAGCUCUCGUCAGGUCACAGGUGGACUCGUCCCUGCUGAGGUCCGCUCUGGCCAAUGAGAGGGCCAAAGUUAACACCCGGGGUAAUUCUUUGACCUCACGCUUCCUCAGUCUUGCUCUCAGAUGGGGCUGGGUCUGUCUGCUGCUGCCGGAGCUUCCUCAGUCAUCUCCUCAUCCAGGGUCUGCAUG